UCGGGAAUAUUGCGCAAUGGAGGAAACUCUGACGCAGUGACGCCGCGUGCAGGAAGAAGGUUUUCGGAUUGUAAACUGCUUUUAACAGGAAAGAAAAAAAUGACGGUACCUGUUGAAUAAGCUCCGGCUAACUACGUGCCAGCAGCCGCGGUAAUACGUAGGGAGCGAGCGUUAUCCGGAUUUAUUGGGUGUAAAGGGUGCGUAGACGGAAAUGCAAGUUAGUUGUGAAAUACCUCGGCUUAACUGAGGAACUGCAACUAAAACUAUAUUUCUUGAGUAUCGGAGGGGUUUGUGGAAUUCCUAGUGUAGCGGUGAAAUGCGUAGAUAUUAGGAAGAACACCGGUGGCGAAGGCGACAAACUGGACGAUAACUGACGUUGAGGCACGAAAGUGUGGGGAGCAAACA
rnacentral:rRNA from 1 species